rnacentral:lncRNA from 1 species
UAAUGCAGAUGGUCAUCAUGUAGCUAGACCUGACAAUCUUGAACCAAACUCGCGAGUACCCGCAGGUUAUCUACAAAUUUGGAGAUACGAAUACCAACUUUUUCAACUUAAAAAAUUAGGAUAAAACGGAUGGUACCCAUUAAGCAAUAGGUAUUUUGGGUAACCCGCAGGUACCCAAGGGUACCCGCACGUAUAUUUUUUAAUUACAAAAUAUAUUUUCUGAAUUAAUAUAUAUUUUUUAUUUAUCUAUCCUAAAAAUUCUAAUUCUAAUUUCUUAUUGUGUAUCUUUUAUAUUAUGAAAUAUUUUUAUUAUAUGUCAUGAU